AACGAACGCUGGCGGCAUGCCUAACACAUGCAAGUCGAACGGAUGCAGCAAUGCAUCAGUGGCAGACGGGUGAGUAACACGUGGGAAUCUACCCAGUAGCCUGGAAUAACCGCGGGAAACUGCGGCUAAUACCGGAUACGCCCCUCGGGGGAAAGGAGCAAUCCACUAUUGGAGGAGCCCGCGUCCGAUUAGCUAGUUGGUGAGGUAACGGCUCACCAAGGCGAUGAUCGGUAGCUGGUUUGAGAGAACGACCAGCCACACUGGGACUGAGACACGGCCCAGACUCCUACGGGAGGCAGCAGUGGGGAAUAUAGGACAAUGGGGGAAACCCUGAUCCAGCAAUGCCGCGUGGGUGAUGAAGGCCUUCGGGUUGUAAAGCCCUUUUGGCGGGGACGAUGAUGACGGUACCCGCAGAAGAAGCCCCGGCUAACUUCGUGCCAGCAGCCGCAGUAA
rnacentral:rRNA from 1 species